UGCGUAACUUUGCAGUCUGAGUAAACUUAAUUAAUAAAUUAAAACUUUUAACAACGGAUCUCUUGGUUCUGGCAUCGAUGAAGAACGCAGCGAAAUGCGAUAAGUAAUGUGAAUUGCAGAAUUCAGUGAAUCAUCGAAUCUUUGAACGCACAUUGCGCCCCCUGGUAUUCCGGGGGGCAUGCCUGUUCGAGCGUCAUUUCACCACUCAAGCCUCGCUUGGUAUUGGGCAACGCGGUCCGCCGCGUGCCUCAAAUCGACCGGCUGGGUCUUCUGUCCCCUAAGCGUUGUAGGAAACUAUUCGCUAAAGGGUGCUCGGGAGGCUACGCCGUAAAACAAACCCAUUUCUAAGGUUGACCUCGGAUCAGGUAGGG
rnacentral:rRNA from 1 species